CUCAGUUAUUUUUAAAGGCCUAAGAGAGGAUCAAUCAGGAUCUAAUGAGUGUUUUUUUAUGUUCAUACUACAGAAGAAAGGCCAAUCUACCAUCAGGGUCAUAAAAACACUCCUGGAAAUGCUCUAAAGUCAUACGAAAGCAUUGUCAAAUAGGUGAACUUGGGCCUUGGGGGACGAAAUGUUUAGUAAUAUGACUCAGAAUUGAAACCAGAAGCAAGCUAUAGAGAUCCCCCGAUACAAAGACUAGGCACAACUUAACAUCCCACACACAAAGCAGUCAGAUAAAGAACAACUAAGGAAUAAAAUAAUGAAAACAGAAAAGAUAUCCGUUGCAAAGACAGAUCCUCGCUAGCAACAUGGCGGCUUCAGAGUGCCCAGCCUGUACAUUUGAGUUCUUUUGGGAAAUUAGACAGACUUGCCGCCCACAGGUACUUCAUUCUAUUACAUGGUGUUGUCCUUAAGGUCACACUGUCUGUUACAAUAUGAGGGAGUAAUCAGGGUUAUAAUAUAUACCUCGGGGCGCGUCAGGCAGGCUUCGGGGUGGUUCCUUGGGGUCAAAGCUUCGAACCAUUGCAUUUACAGGUUAGGUUAGACAUUUACAGGUUAGGUUAGACAUUUACAGGUUAGGUUAGGCAUUUACAGGCUAGGUUAGGCAUUUACAGGUUAGGUUAGGCAUUUACAGGCUAGGUUAGGCAUUUACAGGUUAGGUUAGACAUUUACAGGUUAGGUUAGGCAUUUACAGGUUAGGUUAGGCAUUUACAGGUUAGGUUAGGCAUUUACAGGUUAGGUUAGGCAUUUACAGGUUAGGUUAGGCAUUUACAGGUUAGGUUAGGCAUUUACAGGUUAGGUUAGGCAUUUACAGGUUAGGUUAGGCAUUUACAGGUUAGGUUAGGCAUUUACAGGUUAGGUUAGGCCUUACUAUGAAUAACAACCUUAACUUUAAUGUGGAGGUGCUUUUGGUCGGCAUUUACACAUUUGCCACGCUGCCUAUUCAGUGUUUACACACUGGAACACUCAAGUCCAAACGUAC